rnacentral:rRNA from 1 species
GACGUAGGGCGCGAGCGUUGUCCGGAUUUAUUGGGCGUAAAGAGCUCGUAGGCGGCUCAUUGCGUCGUCCGUGAAAACUUGGGGCUCAACCUCAAGCUUGCGGACGAUACGGGUGGGCUGGAGUUCGGUAGGGGAGACUGGAAUUCCUGGUGUAGCGGUGAAAUGCGCAGAUAUCAGGAGGAACACCGGUGGCGAAGGCGGGUCUCUGGGCCGAUACUGACGCUGAGGAGCGAAAGCGUGGGGAGCGAACAGG